rnacentral:snRNA from 1 species
ACCAUAACAACAGUGGUGGUACCAUAGCCAGUGAGGUUUAUCUGAGGCGUGGUUAUUUCUAGUUGAAACAUUAUUUUAGUUA